GCCACCUGUUGUUUGGUUAUCGAUCAACAUUAAUCAUAUGCAGCAGAUAAUGCAGCGGUAGGCUAUAUAGGCCUGCACGUCAGAGUUACUUCUACAAGGACGAUAGGUUCAACUACAACUAUGCGCAGGCCAAAGCCACAGCAGGCAACUACAAGGAAGCAGAGGAGACAUCAUGAAUCGUAAGGCCAGACUAGCCUGGGAUUUGUACCUUAAGAUGGAGACGUCUGGCGAAUCGUUCAGCCUGCUGUAGCUCAUUGCCAACGACGGCUACAAGAUGGCCAGUUCUACUAUGUGGCCAAGGCUUUCGAUGUCCUGGAAAGAUUGGACCCCAAUCCUGCAUACUGGGAAGGCAAGCGAGGGGCGUGCGUGGGCGUAUUCCAGCAGAUCAUAGCUGGUCAUGAACCAAGAGAAACACUGCGAGACAUCCUCCAAAUCUUGCGCAACACC